CCUCGGGUGGCAGCAGUGGGGAAUAUUGGACAAUGGGCGAAAGCCUGAUCCAGCCAUGCCGCGUGUGUGAAGAAGGCCUUCGGGUUGUAAAGCACUUUCAGUGGGGAAGAAAGCCUUGGGGCUAAUACCCUCGAGGAAGGACAUCACCCACAGAAGAAGCACCGGCUAACUCCGUGCCAGCAGCCGCGGUAAUACGGAGGGUGCGAGCGUUAAUCGGAAUUACUGGGCGUAAAGCGCGCGUAGGCGGUCUGAUAAGCCGGUUGUGAAAGCCCCGGGCUCAACCUGGGAACGGCAUCCGGAACUGUCAGGCUAGAGUGCAGGAGAGGAAGGUAGAAUUCCCGGUGUAGCGGUGAAAUGCGUAGAGAUCGGGAGGAAUACCAGUGGCGAAGGCGGUCUUCUGGACUGACACUGACGCUGAGGUGCGAAAGCGUGGGUAGCAAACAGGAUUAGAUACCCCGGUAGUC
rnacentral:rRNA from 1 species